CUUAGAUCUAUAGAUACUAGCAUAGUCGUCUGAUCUGUAUUUAACUGAGGUGUCUUAGAUCUAUAGAUACUAGCAUAGUCGUCUGAUCUGUAUUUAACUGAGGUGUCUUAGAUCUAUAGAUACUAGCAUAGUCGUCUGAUCUGUAUUU